rnacentral:sRNA from 1 species
CUUCUUAGCCGUAGCUGCCUCAGCACUUCGAGGAUCGACAUGGACGCUCUCGAGGACUACGUUUGGCCGCGGGCAACCUCGGAGCUUAUACUCCUCCCAGUGACGGGUCUGGAGUGCGUGGGGGACCGGCUGUUGGCGGGCUGGAGUGCAGUGGCACGGUCUCAGCUCCCUGCAACCUCUGCCUCCCAGGUUCAAGUGAUUCUCUUGCCUCAGCCUCAGGAGUAGCUGGGAUUACAGGUGAGGGUCCCGAUGUCCUGGUGUACAGCUUGGACUUUGGUGGGCAUCUGCGGAUGAUAAAGCGAGUGCAGAACCUGCUUGGCCACUAUCUUAUCCAUGGCUUUCGGAUACGGCCAGAGCCUAAUGGAGACCUUGACUUGGAGGCCAUGGUGGCUGUGUUUGGAAGCAAGGGACUCCGAGUUGUGAAAAUUAGCUGGGGACAGGGCCACUUCCGGGAGCUUUGGCGCUCUGGCCUGUGGAACAUGUCUGAUUGGAUUUGGGAUGCACGCUGGCUUGAGGGAAAUAUAGCCUUGGCCCUGGGCCACAACUCAGUGGUGCUAUAUGACCCUGU